rnacentral:rRNA from 1 species
ACGAACGCUGGCGGCAGGCUUAACACAUGCAAGUCGAACGCCCCGCAAGGGGAGUGGCGCACGGGUGAGGAACACGUGGGGAUCUGCCCUUUAGUUCGGAACAACACUGGGAAACUGGUGCUAAUACCGGAUAUACCUUUUGGUCUUGGCGACCGAUUGGGAAAGAUUUACCGCUGAAGGAUGAACCCGCGUCUGAUUAGCUAGUUGGUGAGGUAAUGGCUCACCAAGGCGACGAUCAGUAGCUGGUCUGAGAGGACGAUCAGCCACACUGGAACUGAGACACGGUCCAGACUCCUACGGGAGGCAGCAGUGGGGAAUAUUGGACAAUGGGCGAAAGCCUGAUCCAGCCAUGCCGCGUGAGUGAUGAAGGCCUUCGGGUUGUAAAGCUCUUUUAGAUGGGAAGAUAAUGACGGUACCAUCAGAAUAAGCCCCGGCUAACUUCG